rnacentral:rRNA from 1 species
AACAAACGCUGGCGGCGUGCCUAACACAUGCAAGUCGUACGAGAAAGGGUCCUUCGGGGCCUGAGUAAAGUGGCGCACGGGUGAGUAACGCGUGGAUAAUCUGCCCUUCAGUUGGGAAUAACUCAUCGAAAGGUGGGCUAAUACCGAAUAAUGCUGUGAGACCUCGGUUGAUCAGCCAAAGAGAGCCUCUGCUUGCAAGCCCUCGCUGAAGGAUGAGUCCGCGUACCAUUAGCUAGUUGGUAGGGUAAUGGCCUUCCAAGGCGACGAUGGUUGGCUGGUCGGAGAGGAUGAUCAGCCACACUGGAACUGAGACACGGUCCAGACUCCUACGGGAGGCAGCAGUGAGGAAGCGUGCGCAAUGGGGGCAACCCUGACGCAGCAACGCCGCGUGAGUGAGGAAGGUCUUCGGAUCGUAAAGCUCUGUCGGAUGGAAAGAACCGCAUAGGGGUAAACAGCCCCUGUGUCUGACGGUACCAUCAAAGGAAGCACCGGCUAACUCCGUGCCAGCCGCCGCGGUAAUAC